rnacentral:rRNA from 1 species
CGGGUGAGUAAUGCGUAGGAAUCUACCUAGUAGUAUGGAAUAGCCAUUAGAAAUGAUGGUAAUACUGUAUAAUCCCUGCGGGGGAAAGAUUUAUCGCUAUUAGAUGAGCCUACGUUAGAUUAGCUAGUUGGUGAGGUAAUGGCUUACCAAGGCUGUGAUCUAUAGCUGGUCUGAGAGGACGAUCAGCCACACUGGAACUGAGAUACGGUCCAGACUCCUACGGGAGGCAGCAGUGGGGAAUAUUGGACAAUGGGCGAAAGCCUGAUCCAGCUAUGCCGCGUGAGUGAAGAAGGCCUUCGGGUUGUAAAGCUCUUUCAAUAGGGAAGAUAAUG